rnacentral:rRNA from 1 species
UACGUAGGGGGCGAGCGUUGUCCGGAUUCAUUGGGCGUAAAGCGCGCGUAGGCGGCCCCGCAAGUCGGCCGUGAAAUCUCCGGGCUCAACUCGGAGGGGUCGGGCGAGACUGCGGAGCUCGAGGUGGGCAGAGGGCAGUGGAAUUCCGGGUGUAGUGGUGGAAUGCGUGGAGAUCCGGAGGAACACCAGUGGCGAAGGCGGCUGCCUGGGCCUGGCCUGACGCUGAGGCGCGAAAGCGUGGGGAGCGAUCCGG